CCCGAGGGGGAUUUCCCCGCCGGGGCUGUCCGCAGAGGAUCACGAUGCGGCGCAGGAGCCCAGCGGCGGGACGGUGGGGCAGCGAGGCCUCGGGAACCGGCAGCUGAGGAGCAGGGAUGGCACUCAAGGACCCCAGGUUCGGGGGGCGAUGGUGGAGGUGGGAGCAGCAGUGCCAGGGCACGCCAGAGGCACCGGCAGCUGCUGUGCCCACCCGACAAACUGCUACGAAGGGAGCGGCCUUGGUGUGGGUGGAGUUUCUGCUUCCCGAUCGUGCUAAGUUUUGCUACAAGUAGAUGUCUGUUUCAUUAACAGGUUGUUUACUUAGUGCCAGCUGCCCUGACGCUGCUUGUCAGCAUUAACCCUUCAAUACCAGAUAAUGGUGUUUGGAGGAGCCUUUGUGACCUUCAUUCUGCUGGUUGUAUUGUUGGGACCAUUGCCUUGGCUUGCUCUUUGUUUGCUUAUGCUCAAGGAAACAUUUUGCACGAAGAGGAAGGCAGUGACUCGCUUCUUGAAAACAGUUGAUUUUGGCUCCUUGUUUUUCUGCUUCAUGUCACUGUCUGAGCCUUCUCAGAUACCUAAGCAGUAGUAGCUGGUGCUACGGCCUGUAUGUUCUUGCACAGUUAAAGGUCUGGGGGGGAAGCUACACUAAACAUGUUUUCUUCUGCUCUCCCUGCCAUAAUGGGCAGGGGACAUUCUCCCUUUGCAUAAGGACAGCACACCCCUUCUGCAGACAGGCUAGUGAGCAUUGGCCACAGCUGCUAAUGAACUGUAAAACCUUUUCUCCCAUUGCUUCCAAUUUACAGAACUUUCCAGUGAGGUUCUCUGUACUGGUGUCCGCUGCAUCCACUGGAGCAGGGGUGAUGCAGCCGAGGUUGGCGGAAGGCUCUGGGUGGCUGCCUGGCUGCAGCAGCUCUGCAUUUUUUUCCCCUCCAGCCUUUUCAGAGGACUGUGCUACAGCAGUUUUGCUAAAUUCCUGUUAGCUGGGAGAAUGAAAAAUCCCAAUCUGCCAGAAAGUACCUUUGUGCUGGAAAAAGAUGUCAGAGAUGCUCUGGG